rnacentral:ncRNA from 1 species
CAUCGCGAUGCUCUUCAUUCUUGGAGAAAUCGUGAUGAGGAUUUUAUCGAAACGUCAGCUAAAGGAGUUGGUCCUUUAUGCGCCGCAACACAUCGCACGCUUGGAAAAGGCAGGCCUAUUCCCAAUGCGGGUACAGCUGGGCCCGAACAGGGUGGGAUGGGUAGAAGCAGAAGUAUUGGACUGGCUUAAACAACGCUUGGCUGACCGGGAAACCCCGCCCGACACUCCUGCAUAGGAGCUGGGUGGCCAGAUGUGCACUAUCU